CUUCGACCUUAGACCGAGAGCUAAGCCCGGCGCAGGCGCGCUCCCCGCCCCAAUUGCUCUGCUAGAGAGCGCGGCGGGCUGUGGGCGUCCUGAGCGGUGAGAGAGCCCCAGCCUGCUGCUCAGUACUGUAGUGGGAGCUAGGGAAAAACUCAGUGUGAUGAAGGAUGGUGCUGUAUCCUGUGUCCUUCUCCGAUCCUACUGCUGUCUCUCUGCACUAGGUGAGUGCCUCGCUACCUACAGUAUCCAGAGCACUGAUUUGCCACCUUAACACUGCUCACAGCACCUAUGAUGAUUCCUAUAGACCCUUUUUCUCUAGGUCUUCCCCUGCUCUCUGUUUCCUGGAUGCCAUGAGUUGAGCAGCUUUCCUCCUUCACGUCCUUCCACCUUGAUGUUCCUGCCUUGGAAUGAGCUGACCAUAAACUGAAACCUCUGAAACUCUGAGCAAAAUAAACCUCUCCUCUUUAGCUGUGGAUGUCUGGUAUUUUGUGCCAGCAGCAAGAAAGCUGAGCAAGACACAGGGAUUAUGGGCAUCUUUGGAGGCCAUUGUUCU
rnacentral:lncRNA from 1 species